GGACAGGGCAUCCACCACCUCUCUGGGCAGCCUGUUCCAGUGCCUCACCACUGUCACUGUAGAAGACUUUCUCCUUAUAUCUAAACUUUAUCUACCCUCUUCAAGCUUGAAAGAUAUACAUGAAGACCUACAUUAAGACCUACAGACCUCAGCAGCACACUGGCGUGAAUGUGAGUGCAGGCCUGGCAGAAUCAGAUGGCACAAGCCCGGAGACUAAUAAUGACACGAGCCUAAAUGAAUGUAACCUGUGACCCUUAAAUGUGAAGUUAUUUUCACAGCACAGGUUUCUGGCAGUUGGAAAAGCUUUGUUUUCAUUUGCAGUACUGUCACAUUAUAUGUAUUAUCGUUAUACCUCAAUUCUAAGUCAUUUCUUUAUGCUCUUGAGCCAUAGCCACUGCACUUCUUUAUGAAGAAAUUGUGCCAAGCUCGUCAAUCCUGCUGCUGAAUGGGCAGAGAAGGCCACUGAGGAGCGCUGCAGACUCCGUUUCAGGACUGUAGAUGCUGCUGUGUUUCUUGGGAGCCUGGGAAAUUACCUAGAAAUGAAACUCGUUGCUGCCGAUUUCCUCUAUAAAAGCAAGUUGCUGAAGUAAUUGCUUUGGUACUUCCAGUUCUGGCUUCAGCUCUGAAAGCGCUAUUUGAAAAAUUGCUUGCUUGCUUCCUUUUCCAUUUGAAAUGCCAACCAGGAGGGUUAUACAUUGGCUGAUUUCUGGACGUGCAGACAGAGGAUAGUAACAAAAGGAAAUAAGAAACAACCGCAUACAAAUGCAGAAAUCACAAAGAACAUUUCUUGGCUGUGUUCUUCAGAGCUGAAUUGCUUUCUAGCUUUCCUUAAAGUUGUGGAUGGUAUCUGAGGAGCUACAACCCUCCAUGGAAAGCAUCCUGUGGGAAGCAUCCUAAAACUGGAAGUUGUUCUUUUUGCAACACAAGGGAUAUUAUAUACCUGUACCCCAAGAGCAAAGUAGAUACCAUGCCAGCAGCUUCAUGAAUCAGGCUGCCUAAACACAUCGUUUCCAUUCUCUACAAAUCCAUCUGAACUGAACCAUGGAUACAUGCUAUUCUUUGUCCUGAAGUCACGGUCCUCUGCUCAGGAGCGCUCCUCUACACUGGUGCAUCCAUGAUGUUCUUUCCAUCUAUUAGCCAUAUUUCUUUCUCUUUGUUGCCAGAUCACGUUUGGACAUAUACUUCACAAAUGCUGAAGACAGGUGUUUUCAAAGGCCUUCUGUAGAAGACCCUGUCUGCUGAUUGUAGGUGUUCCCAGGGUCAGUUACUUUACAUUUAUUGACUGUAUGCAUUUCUAGCAUGUUUUCCACUUGAUAGUUAUAUUUUUGUUUCAUAAAAGCAGUUUGGCUGUCACAGUCUGAUGCCUAACCAAGUACUGUCACUCUAGAACAUCAAAUCACCCUCUUCUCCCUAAAAGUAUUGUUCUUUAAAGGUGUUCCUAAGUGGAGAAAAAAAACCUAGCACCAUUUACCCAGACUUUUAAAAAUCUCUAACAAGAUUGGCUAAAUGAGGUCAUCAAAUACUGAAUAAGUCAGGGGCCAUCCAGGAGAAUGUAGUAAACAUUCUGCUAAUUUCUGCUGUACAGUUUUUCCUUUGAGAGUUCUUGUUUCCCAUCUGAACUUCCAGAUGCUUUUGUUUAAACAUGCACAGUAAAAUGUUAAUUUGGAAUGAAUUAAAAAUUUGCACAUGAUACCGUAGUUUCAUGGUUGAAUGCUCUGGGUCCUUUCCUUGAUACCUUUUCCAGUAAGUAAGAUGAAGGAAAAAAAAUCCUUUCCAUGUGACACAAAUUAUGACAGAGAGAGGAAAGCUGAGUCAAUAUAUCUUUACCCCAUACUACUGCUAGCAGAAACCUGUGGGUGGUAAUUAUGAUAGUGUGAGCUACUUAGAGCUGUACCCAUGAAUUCGGCUGCAAUGUAGGCAUCCUCAUAGAGGCGUUUCUAUUUUGGCUAAGAAAGUGGGGAUUUUAAUGUGUUACAUCAACUUCCUCUCUCUGACUAAGAUCAUUUUUCAUCAGAAGCUGAAAGCAGGAGCUCUCUGCUCCCAUGUGCCACCCCUUGUGGGUGCUUUACAAUUUUCAGGGUUGCAUCCAAAAUCACGGGAACCUUGUGUGACCCUUGCCUCCUCUGUCAUGAUGUGAAAGGACAUCAUCAUGACCAUAAGACGUGUCAGAAGAAUUGUCACUUUCUACACGUCUAAGGGAUUUGAAGCGAGGGGUCUUUGCGUUAAUCUGCAGUGUGAGUUGGUGCACAGCCCCAUACUGCAGAAUGUGAAGGUUUCGGGAAUUUACAUUGCCAUGUCAAUAAGCACAAACUGGUCCAAGCACAAAUGGACACUUGGAGUAUGGUAUUGCCAAAUCUGGAUGCUUAAAAUCUCGUGUCCUUAUUUCAUGCUUGGAACGCCAUACAUGGCCUUUUGCUGUCCUUUUUUUCCAUGUAGAAUAAAACUUGAUGUUCAAGCAGGAGGGAGCCACAGCAAACUUCAUCUGGACAAGUAGGGAAAUCAAGACAACAGGCAACACCAUGCAGCAUACGUGCCCCAGCAGCACUGGCACAGCCACCAUGCUGGUGGAAUUACUUCUGAAACAAACUUUUACAAAGGAAGAAAUGAUUGUCAUUUGUCCUAGACACAAUUUUUCAAAGAUCACAUGCACAUAGCACGUGUUAUUAGUAUUUACAUUACAAAGCAGGAUAAAAUCUGCUGAAUGGAUACCUGGGAUAUUUGUGAUCCUCGACAAGUUUGAAAAAUAGAAGGCAGUUUCUGGAGAUGAGUACUGCUGGUCAUGAGGGCACAGGGGCAGAGGAUGUCCUGGUUAUGCUGACUUCAUCCCUUGCAAAGGGCAAGCAACAAGUGGUAGCAACAAAGGGAAGGACAUGAGAGCAGAAUUUGUGAAGAGAAAAACCACUGCCUGUAAUGAACCAAAGCUCUGGGUAUCUGCUUUUAGAGGGCAAGGUGUGUGAGGAGCGGCUGAGGCCCCUCGACGUGCUCAGCCCGGAGCAGAGGAGCUGAGGGGAGGCCUCAUGGCGGCUGCAGCUCCUC